UUCCGGGAAAACAAGCCCAGAAGGCGGCGGACACUCGCAUAAAGUCACGCAGUAGUACUCGGAGCCCGGGGUAGAACCUGGACUUCAAAUCUCUGCACUCCCGGCCGGGUGGUGGGCGCAUAUCCUGGGUAGCCUCUAGGAAGCGCUAGACACAUGGAACCAAGGCAGAUUCAGCCUGGCAGCUGGCAAGUCAUGGAGCACUGCCUGUCCAUCUGCGAGCUAACAACAGUCGCGCUGGAAGUCAACAAGGGAAAUGGAAAGGGAGAGACCCAGCCUCCACAGGGGCUCACGCCCUGGGACCUGUGCCAGUGUGAACAAGGUUUUCCGGCCCCAGGAAGCAGGCCUAAGUACUCUCAUUUCAUCACUGAGGAGCCUGAGACGUUCAGUCAUUGAUUGGACAGCCCUCACCAUUCAAGCCCUCCUUGGUUUACAGCAGCAGAAAGAGAGGCUCUGAAGGUUCUAGCCAGAGGAAGCUGCAGCCAGGCCUGGCAGUCUCCCCUGCUCCCUUCCACCAGCUUGGUUCCUGUUUCUGCUGGUCCUGGGAGCCCCCAGCAGAUGGACUGCCCUUAUCAGCCGGCUCCAGGCCAGAGGAGGAAUCCUCCGGUCACGUGUGGCUCUCUGGAGGGAGAGAGACCUCAUAAAUACAUACAGCCCACGCAGAGGAAGGGGGGAGGGUCAAGGGGAAAGAAACCUUGACAUUCUGGCGACUGGGCCAGGAUUAAAGUCCACCAGGCAUAGUCCUUAUUGGCUAUUUCUAUGAGGAAUCUCAAAUCCACAUGGCUUCCCUGGAUGACAACGCUGACUUUGACUAGCCCUGGGAUCUGGGGCAUUCCCAGUGUGCUGCUGGCUUGAUCCAGGCCUAAUCCUUUGCCCAGGACUGACCUUUCACAGUUUACAGAGCACUUUAUCUCCUGGCUCAGUGAAGUCUCACAGAACCCUCCAGAGAGAAGGGAGUUUAUCAUCACCCUCAAUUUACAGAUGAGGAAGCUGAGGCUGCGAUUGUAACUGACUGACUGCUGGCUACGCAGCUACAAGUGACCGAGUCCAGCCUGAAAGCCACAUAUAUUCUCCCACAAAAUCCAGAGCUGCCAAACACAUCCUCCUCCAUGAGUCUUGCUUUGUG